GUUGGACUGCUAAUUAUCCAAGAGAGUGUGCUUAUAGGCCUUUAUGUUGGAUUCAGAGUAUAAAGCUCAUGUUUUAGAUUUUGGGACUGCUAAGUUUUUCAAGCAUGGUUCAUAUAUAUAGUUGGACAACAUUUGCUGGUACUUUUGGCUAUGCUGCUCCAGCUAUCAAGAAGAGGAUGGAGAAGGAUAUUGAUAAAGUUAGAAAGAUUGCACAUAGUGUCAAAACAAAAAUAGAAGCUAUAAACAGAGAUGUAAUGAGACAAAGAUAAUGACUUGAUGUUUUAGUCGAUUUUAGUCCUGAAAUUUCAAACAUGAGGAAUUUUUUAUAUGGUCUUGUUAUUUGCAUAACUUAGUAUAGUUGAACAAUACAUUGAGUUUAUGUUUUGAAUUAUAGUUGAUGUAUCAACACACUUUGAUGUAUGUUUUUACUUAUUAUUAUAGUUGAUGAUCAAUACAUUUUGUUUAUGUUUUGAA